UACAGAGGGUGCAAGCGUUGUUCGGAAUUACUGGGCGUAAAGGGCGCGUAGGCGGUUUGGUAAGUCAGAUGUGAAAGCCCGGGGCUCAACCCCGGAAGUGCAUUUGAAACUACCAGACUAGAGUGCAGUAGAGAAUGGCGGAAUUCCCAGUGGAGAGGUGAAAUUCGUAGAUAUUGGGAAGAACACCGGUGGCGAAGGCGGCUCACUGGCUCAUUACUGACGCUCAGGCGCGAUAGCGUGGGGAUCAAACAGG
rnacentral:rRNA from 1 species